CAACAUUCCCACAAAAGGAAUCGAGCCAAAUCGAAGUGUGACUGACGAAACGAGUGAGGAAAUUACUUUCAGGGUCGUGGAAGUUGCACGCAGGAAAGAAGUGGAUAACUCCGCAGGUGUGGAUUAGCGGGAAUUGACGGACCGCUCAGAGGACUUGAAGUUAUUUAUCUCCAGCUUGUGUGAGGAUUUUGUGUGACUAUCUUGUGAGUUUGUAGUGAGGAUUUCGCAAUUCCAUUUGUUAUAAUAUUGAAUUAUAAUUUGGGUUGUAAUAAUCGGUUUAACUGAGUUGUAUUGUGAACUCAGAGAUGA